UUUUUUUUUCUUCUUCUUCUUCUUUCAGGUUUUGGAUGUUUGAGGGUGUGUCUUUUCAAAAGUAUAUAAGAUGGGUUUUUCCAUGUAAAAACAACUUCACAAGAUUCAGAGUGAGGAAAUAAGAGCUAACUUCUCAGACAAAUUAAGCAUUAUUCCCCAUGAUGGCUAACCAUCAAAAUCACAAGGCUGGGCAAUUUCACUACACUGAGCAUCAACCUCGCCAGGCACCUGGGCAACGGUAUCACAACAAUGAGCAUCAACCUCGCCGGGUACCUGGGCAACAAUAUCACAACACUGAGACUCAACCUCGCCACGCACCUGGGCAACGGUAUCACAAUACUGAUCCUCGACCUCGCCAUGGACCUGGGCAACGGUAUCACAACACUGAUCCUCGACCUCGCCGUGCACCUGGGCAACGGUAUCACAACACUGAUCCUCAACCUCGCCAGGCACCUGGGCACCAGUAUUACUACACUGAGAAUAAUCUCGGAGAAGAGCUCGCAGAAGAGCUCGGAAAAGAACUUGUAAACCAGCUGGGAGAAGAGGACAGCAACGAUUAUUAUGAUGAAGAUUACUAAAGUUGGGUCAAAAUGAAAUCUUAACGGUUGCACUGAUCACCACAAACCCCUGAGCUAAGCAAAGUGUAUCUAACAAACUACUAUUCAAACAGCUGAGGCAUUGUUUUCCUCAAGGUGAAGAUCAACAUACACCUCACAAUGAAGGACAAUCAAAUGAAACACAUAAAAUAAAUCACUGUAGAUUGGGAUGCAACUGCUUGAAUUUCAUGUAAUCUUGAUAUGAAAUCAAAUAAAAUGUAAC
rnacentral:lncRNA from 1 species